rnacentral:rRNA from 1 species
CCCAGACUCCUACGGGAGGCAGCAGUGGGGGAUAUUGUACAAUGGGGGGAACCCUGAUGCAGCGACGCCGCGUGGGUGAAGGAGUGCUUCGGCAUGUAAAGCCCUAUCGGCAGGGAAGAAGCAAGACGGUACCUGACUAAGAAGCCCCGGCUAACUACGUGCCAGCAGCCGCGGUAAUACGUAGGUGGCAAGCGUUGUCCGGAUUUACUGGGUGUAAAGGGCGUGCAGCCGGGCUGACAAGUCAGAUGUGAAAUCCCGCGGCUCAACCGCGGAACUGCAUUUGAAACUGUCAGUCUUGAGUACCGGAGAGGUCAUCGGAAUUCCUUGUGUAGCGGUGAAAUGCGUAGAUAUCAGGAGGAACACCGGCGGCGAAGGCGGCCUGCUGGACCGUGACUGACGUUGAGGCUCGAGAGCGUGGGGAGCAAACAGGAUUAGAUACCCCAGUAC